UGCUAGGAAUGCCUGGGUGGCUCAGUGGGUUAAGCAUCCAACUUCAGUUCAGGUCAUAAUCUCAAGGUCUGAGAGUUCAAGCUCAGCGUCAGGUUCUAUGCUGACAGCUCAGAACUCGGAGCCUACUUCAGAUUCUGUCUCCCUCUCUCUGCCCCUCCCCCACUCACCCUCUGUCUCUCUCUCUCAAAAAUAAAUAAACAUUAAAAAAAUUUUUUUAAAAAGAGUUUGAAAAUCUACUUAAAUAAUUACCUUUACUGUUAUAAGAAGAAUGAAUCGAUUGUUUUUUUCCACAAAUUAUUUGGAUACCUUUAUGAAGAGGCCUGAAUGGAUGAAUAAUAUUUCUCCCAUUCAUCAAGCCUGACAGCAUUAUAAAUAAUAUUACUGAUUAUGAUAGUAAGAGCAGUUAAUGUUCACAAAGCCCCUUCUGUGAGCCAG